rnacentral:rRNA from 1 species
UUGGAGGGCAAGUCUGGUGCCAGCAGCCGCGGUAAUUCCAGCUCCAAUAGCGUAUAUUAAAGUUGUUGCAGUUAAAAAGCUCGUAGUUGAAUUUCGGGAUUAGUACGCUGGUCGUGCCUUCGGUACGUACUGGUGUUACUGAUUUCUACCUUCUGACGAACCAUCAUGUCAUUAAUUUGGUGUGGUGGGGAAUCAGGACUGUUACUUUGAAGAAAUUAGAGUGUUUAAAGCAGGCUCGCGCUUGAAUACAUUAGCAUGGAAUAAUGAAAUAGGACGUUGAUCCUAUUUUGUUGGUUUCUAGGAUUGACGUAAUGAUUAAUAGGGAUAGUUGGGGGCAUUAGUAUUCAAUUGUCAGAGGUGAAAUUCUUGGAUUUAUUGAAGACUAACUACUGCGAAAGCAUUUGCCAAGGAUGUUUUCAUUAAUCAAGAACGAAAGUUAGGGGAUCGAAGACGAUCAGAUACCGUCGUAGUCUUAACCAUAAACUAUGCCGACUAGGGAUCGGAUGAUGUUAUUUUUAAUGACUCAUUCGGCGCCUUACGGGAAAC